UACGAAGGGGGCUAGCGUUGUUCGGAAUUACUGGGCGUAAAGGGCGCGUAGGCGGCUUCGCUAGUCGGGCGUGAAAUGCCUGGGCUUAACCCGGGAAUUGCGUUCGAUACUUCGAGGCUAGAGUGUGGGAGAGGUUGGUGGAAUUCCCAGUGUAGAGGUGAAAUUCGUAGAUAUUGGGAAGAACACCAGUGGCGAAGGCGGCUAUCUGGACCGUAACUGACGCUGAGGCGCGAAAGCGUGGGGAGCAAACAGG
rnacentral:rRNA from 1 species